rnacentral:lncRNA from 1 species
UAUUUGGUAAUUGUGGUGUAACAUAUUUGAGUCAAAUUGGUGUAUGUACGAAACCUAUGAACCAAAACUGAGCGGCAUCCUGGCUUCAUGUUGAUAAGUGUGAAAUACUUAUUUGUGAAGGAGAUGAGGUACAGAGUGUAGUGAAUGUGCGUGUCGUUAGUAGUAGGUAAGGCAAACAAUGUGAAUGAAUAUCCCUCUUGUGUUGCUAUGUAUCAGUGGAAAUAAUAAUUACUUGAAGGUUAAAAAUAUUUGUGACUCAAAGUAAAAUGGGUUGACAAGAGAACUACCUGCAGGUCAGGGAAACAUGAGCGUGCAGCUCUAGGUUCAUGCUAAUUUUUGCAGUCCUUUUUUUGCUGCCCAGUGGUACGAGCUAAAUAUUCUAAAGAUGUAGUAUGUUAAUCAAUAUUCUUGAUUUAAGACUACAAGUGAUGCUGAGCUGUUUCAGUUAUUACUGUAUUUAGGAACACUUGAUGUAAGAGUACAGAGUGAUUUUGAUCUGUUUCAGUUAUUACUGAAUUUAGGAGCAUCUUUGUAUGUCCCUGACUCCCUUUUCCUGAUAUAACAAGGCCUAGCCGGUACGUUUCAAUAUAUGCCAAUAAUUUACAUAGUGCUCUUGUACCAUUGGUUUGAGACACUGAUGACAAUUUCAGGCUUAUGCGGCGCUAUAUUUUCUUUGGACAUUUUGGACUGAAGAAAAAUUGGUGAACUUUCUAUAGCCAAUGCAUACUUGGUUGAGGACUAAAAAAUGAUGGAUUGUGUCCUUUGUCCUUUGCACUCAAGUACUCGGAAAGAAGGUCUGAGUGGUAAUAUGGGAGCAAAUGUGCUAACUUAAGCACAUGUUUGUGGUACCAAUCUGUAUUUGUAUAUGACGAGCAUUGACAUGAAACAGGCACCUAACAAAACACAUACUACUACAGGUCUCAAUUCCAACUGCAAGGAUGUACGUAGUGUGCAAUGUGCACUGUAUCCACUUGAUACUUGCAACAAAUCAUUCGAAUUAUCACACAACUGUAUGGGCCAAAAAAUACCUCAGUAAAUAAGUAGUAAUGGUCUUCAACCGGUUUCUCCUCGAAGUUCUCCAUCUUUUUUCCUCGGGCAGGAAACUGUAGAAUCAACACGAUCACUUCGAUCUGGAAGGUGGAAUGUCUUUGCUCAGACCGAUGGAGGGUCCUGAUCUUUCUAAGAAGAAGAGGAUUGUUGCCUUGGUACAUAGCUCCUUCACCGGACUCCCUUGCUCUAAGGUCAGAGGCACUGGGACUGGGUUGCGACGAGCUGCUUCGGAGUAAGCUAUUGGUCAACUUGGGCUACGAAAUCAUUGCGUGCGGGAGGGAGAAAAGGAGGGGGAUGAGCUGGCUGACCUCGGUGUCUGCGGCGGCAGUUGAGCAAGAUCUCGGGCGAUACUCCGACCUGAGGUCUCUGGCGGCAGCCAUUGGAGCUCCGGUCAUCCGGUGGUGGAUUUGGAACUGGAUGAGCGGCAGCCAAGCCCCACACACACGAGGCGUUUCUUUGAGUGACCGCUCACGUGCUGCACGUGGCCAGCGAUGGAGGCGCACGCGUGGCUGGAGCAGCCUUCGUGUAUGUUCUUGCCUAGACAUAACGUGAUUACUGUAUGUGUUGUCAUGUUGCCGCCUAAUCCAUUGUUUCUCGGUCAAGUCGUUCCAGAGAUUAUGGGUUUUGUAACCAAAACUGUGGCCUAAUUAUUAUUUUUCUCAAAUAGACAAGUAUGUGUGUUUGGCUUCCUUGUUUACCGGUUUAGCAUGACAAGAUUUUAACUCGGCUAUACUUAUGCUAGAGUAUACUACUCCCUCCGUU